rnacentral:rRNA from 1 species
CGCCAAACAACUACGAGUACAAACUUAAAACUUAAAAGACUUGACGGUGCUUCACAACACCCUAGAGGAGCCUGUCUAAUAACCGAUACCCCACGAUUAACCCAACCCACCCUCGCCUACCAGUCUAUAUACCGCCGUCGCCAGCUUACCUUGUGAAAGAAAUAAAGUAAACUCAAUAGAUUCACCCUCUAACACGACAGGUCGAGGUGUAACAAAUGGGUGGGCAAAAGAUGGGCUACAUUUUCUAAAACAGAAGAUACGAAUCAACCAUGAAACUAGAAACUGAAGGCGGAUUUAGCAGUACGUUAGGAACAAAACACCCAACCGAAACUAAUGCAAUGAAGUGCGUACACACCGCCCGUCAUCCCUGUCACAACAACAAAAAAAUCAAUAAACACACCACAUUCU